CUCCUUGUGUUAUGGUAUAGGUGACUAACUCCUUGUGUUAUGGUAGAGGUGACAAACUCCUUGUGUUAUGGUAUAGGAGACUAACUCCUUGUGUUAUGGUAUAGGUGACUAACUCCUUGUGUUACGGUGUAGGUGACUAACUCCUUGUGUUACAGUAGAGGUGACUAACUCCUUGUGUUACGGUAGAGGAGACUAACUCCUUGUGUUACAGUAGAGGUGACUAACUCCUUGUGUUACGGUAGAGGUGACUAACUCCUUGUGUUACGGUAGAGAAGACUAACUCCUUGUGUUACGGUAGAGGUGACUAACUCCUUGUGUUACGGUAUAGGUGACUAACUCCUUGUGUUACGGUAGAGGAGACUAACUCCUUGUGUUACGGUAUAGGAGACUAACUCCUUGUGUUAUGGUAGAGGUGACUAACUCCUUGUGUUACGGUAUAGGAGACUAACUCCUUGUGUUACGGUAUAGGUGACUAACUCCUUGUGUUACGGUAGAGGAGACUGACUCCUUGUGUUAUGGUAUAGGUGACUAACUCCUUGUGUUAUGGUAUAGGUGACUAACUCCUUGUGUUACGGUAGAGGUGACUAACUCCUUGUGUUACUGUAGAGGUGACUAACUCCUUGUGUUAUGGUAGAGGUGACUAACUCCUUGUGUUACAGUAGAGGAGACUAACUCCUUGUGUUAUGGUAGAGGUGACUAACUCC